rnacentral:snRNA from 15 species
ACACUUGCCUGAAUGGGGUCAAUCGGUCAGCGGGGGAUCAAUAAGGCCCUUGGCCUAGGUUGGUGGCCUCCAUUGCACUUAGGCGGUGCACCAGUCUAAGAAGUCUACGUUAUAGUUUGUGACAUCCAAUAAAUAUAAUCCUUAUAGCACUGA